UAGGGAAUCUUCCGCAAUGGACGCAAGUCUGACGGAGCAACGCCGCGUGAGUGAAGAAGGAUUUCGGUUCGUAAAACUCUGUUGUUAGAGAAGAACAGCGCAUAGAGUAACUGUUAUGCGUGUGACGGUAUCUAACCAGAAAGCCACGGCUAACUACGUGCCAGCAGCCGCGGUAAUACGUAGGUGGCAAGCGUUGUCCGGAUUUAUUGGGCGUAAAGCGAGCGCAGGCGGUCAAUUAAGUCUGAUGUGAAAGCCCCCGGCUCAACCGGGGAGGGUCAUUGGAAACUGGUUGACUUGAGUGCAGAAGAGGGGAGUGGAAUUCCAUGUGGAGCGGUGAAAUGCAUAGAUAUAUGGAGGAACACCAGUGGCGAAGGCGACUCUCUGGUCUGUAACUGACGCUGAGGCUCGAAAGCGUGGGUAGCAAACAGG
rnacentral:rRNA from 1 species